GAUGAAGAACGUAGCGAAAUGCGAUACGUAAUGUGAAUUGCAGAAUUCAGUGAAUCAUCGAAUCUUUGAACGCAUAUUGCGCUCUCUGGUAUUCCGGAGAGCAUGCUUGUUUGAGUAUCAGUAAACACCUCAACUCCCUUUUCUUUUUUGAAAUUGGAGCUGGACUUGAGUGAUCCCAACGCUUUCUUCCAAGAAAGUGGCGGGUUGCUUGAAAUGCAGGUGCAGCUGAACUUUUCUCUGAGCUAUAAGCAUAUCUAUUUAGUCUGCCUAAAAAACAGAUUAUUACCUUUGCUGCAGCUAACAUAAAGGAGACUAGUUCUUGUGCUGACUGAUGCAGGAUUCACAGAGACAGCUUCGGCUGACUUUGUAAACUCGAUCUCAAAUCUAGUAAGACUACCCGCUGAACUUAAGCAUAUCAAUAAGCGGAGGA
rnacentral:misc_RNA from 1 species